CUAAACAAAUUUAGUUCACAUUCGAAGGUCUAUUAGUGAAGUUGAAAUAUAUUUUUCUCAACAAUUAGCAAAAGGAAAAAUACAAUAAAAAUGAGAUUAGUGUGUUUAUUAAUGGUGUUAAUCGUAUGUAUAGGAAUUGAAGCUGCGAAUAUUCCUAUUAAUAGGAAUCCACUAACAUUACGUGUAACGAACACAAACUCAAAGAGCCUUAAAGAUAUUUCCGACACUGAAACUAACAAACGCGAUGCAGAUCUCAUUCCGGGGGAACUUCCGGUCUACCGAAUUAUGGUUACAAAGCCAAACUGUCCUCUAGAUCAUCGCGGAAAGUGCAUUCCGGAAUCUACGACUAAGAGCAAAUAGUAGAAGAAAAUUUGUAACACGAAGCUACCAAAGUGUCUAUCAUCGCGGAAAGUGCAUCAAUUGAGGAACUAGAACGCAGAUAUUUCGCAAACGGUGGAGACUUUAUUAAACAAUGUACAACAACGAAAUAAAUGUGGAGUAUUCCUUGGGUAUUCCUUAGAAAUAUAAUUAGCGAUCUUUUAAAUAAAUAUAUUUUAUUACAAAUAGUAGGCAGUAUAUUAUAGGAUUUUUUUUAAGUUUGUGUUGAUAAUUACGUUUAUUAAAAAAAAAUGAAAUUUUACUACCUUGAUUAACUUUGUACGAUAUAUGGUACUAUGGUUUAUGGUCUAUAAAACCUUUCUUUCAUGUACAAAUAGUUACAAAAGCAAGUGAAUUUUUGGUAUUUCUAAAAUUAAUAUAUACAAAAAUGUGAAGAAUUUUAAAAAAUGAAUUACAAAUUCUCGUUCUUUAGUUUCGAUUGUAAUAGCAAUAUACAUCACAGUGAUUUAAAAAUCAUCACAUAUACUAAGGCCGAUUAAUCGGUCGGACUCUGUUGAAUACAUUUCUACUCAGCACCAGCUGAUUUUAAAUUAUACGUAGACUUAUAUUACAUUUACGUAAAUCCAAAUUGCCCUAUAGAUCAUCACGGAAGGUGCAUAGAAACCAGCACUAUAAUAAAUAGAAAAUAUAUCGAAUUUGAAUGCGACAAUCAAACCACCGAGGAAAGUACAAAUUUUUAAAUGUGUGAAGAUCCGACUGUCACUUUUCAAUGGGAUUAUUUCUUCAUGCUGUUAUGGCAUUUUGUCUAACGGCACUCUGCAUGCUCGAGGUGCUUAAGUGUUUCUUCGUACGCUUAACUCUUGCAUGAAACACUAUAGGAGAAGGUGCUACAGGUCAUAAUUUGUUCCAAAAGAGCUAGUUUAUUUAACGCUUACCAAAAUAAGUUACCAGAAAUUUAAAUGAAAUGUCAUCGUUCUUUAAUUUACGCCAUCAGUUCAAUGUUCUAUAAAAAAUAAUGCAGAUUAUCUGUUACAGUUUUUGAUGCAAGAGGAAAUUUAUCACCUCAAGUGCAGAUAGCAAAUAGAUCCCAUAUUUCAUUUCGUAGAAAAAUGUAAGAAAUUUCAUUUUAAGAAAUAAUCAAAUCUUCGGCAAUAAGGAAAUGUUAAAUUUGAAUAAAUUUAUCAACAUACAUAAGUCCGCAUUUACAUAUGUGUAAGUAGAAUUAUAUAUUUUUAAAUUUGUUUGUAAACCUCACUGAUAAUGAAUGGAAUUUUAACAAAAGUAGAAUUUACAACACCAAAUGUAUGAAAAAUUAGAUCCAAAUUUGUUGGUGACAGACGGCAGCUAAGCGAGUUUGAAACACUCUUAAACAGCUGAUUGGCAACAAUAUAUUCAGUUUGGUAGAAUAAAAUUUAAUAGAACUAUUAGUAUCCAUUCUGAUCAAAAUUGAUUUGAAGAUUCAGUAUACUUAAAUAGAUUAGAUAAAAUGAGGUCAUCUUAAGCUCGAAGCUUUCAUAGUGAUUAUUUUCUUUCAAUGAAUUGAAAUUGAAGUCAAGAUUGGGCAAUUGUGGCAACAUUAGGUAGAGAUACAUAUCAAAGAAAGAUAUAUAUAUCAAAGAAAUCCAAAUCGAAACCACCUGUAGUAUACAUGAUUAAAUCUAAUAAAUAUGGAAUGAAAUAAAUAUGUGUUUGUGUAACAAAAAAGAUGAAAAUAUCAAUAAUUGUUUUUUUUUUAUUUAAGAAAUACAUCAGCUCUUCGAAGGCCGAGUUAAACGUGCAUAUUAUAUGUAUGAAUCCGUUUGUUUAUGGUGAUAACGAAAAUUUACUUAAUGUACAUAUGUGUGUAUAAAUUUAACUAAAGAUUUGUGAAAUAAAACUGAAAUGAUUAAAUGCUAUUUAACGCAACGCAACGGUUAAACAAAUUUAGUUGACAUUCGAAGGUCUAUUAGUGAAGUUGAAAUAUAUAUUUUUCUCAACAAUUAGCAAAAGGAAUAAUACAAUAAAGAUGAGAAUAGUGUGUUUAUUAAUGGUGCUAAUAAUAUAUAUAGCAAUUGAAGCUGCGAAUAUUCCUAUCAAUAGGAAUCCGCUAACAAUACUUUUAAGGAACACAAUCAGCCGUGAAGUCGACAAAAACGAUACGACACAAAUAACGUCCUUCCACCUUUACGUAAAGCCAAAUUGCCGUAUAAAUCAUCGCGGAGAGUGCAUAGAAACCAGUACUAUAAUAAAUGGAAAAUAUAUCGAAUUUGAAAGCGAUAAUCCACCAACCACCGAUGAAAUUACAUCAAGACAGAAAGCAAUAGACGAAUCAUCCGCAAUUGACGGCUGCAGAUUACACCGACCAUACGAAGCAAAAUUGUUUUCCGAGACCAAGAAGUGAUCUCAUGUUUACAUUUCCAAAAGGAAGAGAACAUUUGAGUGAAAGCUUACCGAUAUAUUAAACAAUACACAACAGCGAAACAAAAUUAGUAAAGGUUCGAGAGUCGCUUAGUGAAGUUGAAACAGAAACCAAAAACAAAAAUACUUUAAAGAUGAACUGCGGGUGGUUUUUAAUAGCACUAACCGUAUAUAUUGGAAUUGUAGGUGCACAAUAUUUAAAUUUGGUUGUAAAGCAAAACUGUCCUACAGAUCAUCUCGGAAGGUGCAUUAACCGCAACACUAUAAUUGAUGACAUCUAUAUAGCAUCUACGACUAAGAGUGUUCCAACCAAAAACCACCGACCAUAUGAAGUAAAAUUAUUUUCCGAGACCAAAAAGUGAUCUCAUGUUUACAUUUCCAAAAUGAAGAAAGCAUUUGAGUGAAAGCUUACCGCUAUAUAAAUAAAAUUAGUAAAGGUUCGAGAGUCGCUUAGUGAAGUUGAAACAUAUAGUUUCGCUCAACAUAAACCAAAAACAAAAAUACUUUGAAGAUGAACUGCGGGUGCUUAUUAAUAGCCCUAACCGUAUAUAUUGGAAUUGUAGGUUCAGUCCUCAUUCCGAGGAGAGAUCCGCUCUACUUAAAUUUUGUUGUAAAGUCAAACUGUCUACUAAAGUCUGUAAACUAAAGAUUAUCGCGGAAAUCGUGCAUUGAAAUCGGCACUAUAAUUGAUUACUUCUGUAUUGCAUGCUCGAGUGAAGAAAAACAAGAAAAUACAAUUUUUAACACGAAGCGUCGAUCAGCACGGAACGAGCAUCAAUGGAAGAACUCAAAUAUUUCGCAAACAGUUGAGACUUGGGAUUUUUUUUUUUUUGAAAUGUGAAAGGCUAUUGUAGUUGUUGUUAAUGGGAAACACGACAAAAUACUAAAUAAUUGAAAGUUUCGAGAUGAUUGAUUUCGAGAAUCUAUAAAACGGGAGAUCUCACAACCUGUGCCAAUUACCGUGGGAUAAGCCUCCUAAAUAUCGCCUAUAAGGUUCUAUCGGGCGUACUGUGUGAAAGACUAAAGCCCACCGUCAACAAAAUGCUUGAAUCUUAUCAGUGUGGCUUUAGAAUUGGAAAAUCCACAACGGACCAGAUAUUCACCAUGCGCCAAAUCUUUGAUGUAUAUUAUAGAAAAUGUCUUAAAGUUUGUGUUGUUAAUUUUGCCUAUUUUCACAAAAUAUGAAUAAAUGGCUACGAACAUAUACUCUACAAAAUAAAUUUCUACUCACAACGUGUUGUUUAUAAAUAUCAGCUAUAGCUUAUCUCGUUAAAUAAAUCAACGGAAAGAGGGCAUACAUAUACAUAUAAUAUGAGAAUAUAUUGAUCAACAGUACAUAUAGACGCAAUAUAUGUAUAUAUAAUUAUAAACAUUUGUUUGUUUAUAAACCUCACUGAUAAUGAAAGUUAAUUAUGCGACUGAAUCGUUUUUCGAAAUUAUAGUAGUUGUCACUCUAAAGUUAUUGUAAUUAUCGCUCAAUGGUAAUAUGAGUAUUCCAAGCUUUUAAAAUAUAAAACUCAAAAAUUCUUUCGAAGAAAUUAUAAGCUUUCAAUCUAUUAAAAUUUAAGUCAAGAAUUGGACCAGAGCAUCUAAUGCGUCCUCCGAAUCUUACAAACAAAUAUCAGCUCUUCGAAAAUAAAAAUAAUUCAUAUUGUUAAUUUUUUUCUAUUUUUCAGCAGCAAUAUCAUAUUUGCAUACAUAUAUUACUUUCUACUAAAAGGAGAGUAUUAGAAAUCAGUGAACAUUUGAGCGAAAGCUUCCUUAUUAUAUAUAUUAUUAUAUAUAUUAUUAUAUUAUUAUAAAUAUUGUACAACGGCUAAACAAAUUCAGUAAAGAUUCAGGAGUCGAUUAGUAAAGUUGAAACAUAAAUUACCUUUCAACAAAAACCAAAAACAAAACACUUUAAAGAUGAGAUUAAUGUGCUUAUUAAUGCUACUAAUUUUAUAUAUUGGAAUUGUAGCUACAGAAAAUCCGGGACGGUGGCACAAAAAAAUUUUUAACACCAAGCCACGGAUCAACUGCCAAAGAGUCGACCAUCGCGGGCAGUGCAUUAAUGGCGGAACUAGAACGCAGAUAUUUCGUAAUUGAGUGAUUGUGAAUAAUAGUGGAAUUUCAUCCAAUAAAAUCAAAUAUUCAGCGUAAAAAAUUAGUCGAAAUAACUGCUGUAUUAUGUAUAUAUAUUAAAGUGUUUCAUGAAGUUUAAUAUGUAUAUCAAGCGCAAAAGCAAUAUAUUUCAAGCACAAAAGCAAUAUAUUUCAAGCACACUCAAAAAUUUCGUAACUUAUAUACAUAAAUAUGAUAUGGCUUGAAAAAGGUCCAAAGAGUGAAAGCUUCAUAUAUUUGAAUUAUUACUGCGUUGGAAACGCACAAGUGAAACAAAUUUAGUAGACACUUUUAAGCCACUGCGUAAAGUUUAAAUUCAAUUCUUAUCGCUCACUAAGAAAAUUGGUCCAUAAAUAUGAGACUCAUAUACUUAUUAAUCUUAUGUAUCUGUCUCGUAGCGGCAGAAGAGAAUAGUCCGCAAAAUACACCGAUCAUACAACAGAGAAGUCUUUUCAUUGGGAGACUAAGGCAAAGAUGUGGAAGAGUCAACCAUCGGGGCGAAUGCAUUGGCAGAAUUGCUAAUUAAAUAAUCAAUAUAAAUAUAUAUAAAAUCAUCAAGAUUUAUAAAAAGAAACCAAUUUAAAUGAAAAGAAUUUAAUGUAUACAAUUCUGAGGCCACUUAACAAACAAACAUGAAAUAAAUAUGAAAAUCAAACAAAAGUGA